rnacentral:rRNA from 1 species
AUGACGUCAAGUCCUCAUGGCCCUUAUAGGUGGGCUACACACGUCAUACAAUGGCUGGUACAAAGGGUUGCCAACCCGCGAGGGGGAGCCAAUCCCAUAAAGCCAGUCGUAGUCCGGAUCGUAGUCUGCAACUCGACUACGUGAAGUCGGAAUCGCUAGUAAUCGUGGAUCAGAAUGUCACGGUGAAUACGUUCCCGGGUCUU